rnacentral:rRNA from 1 species
AUUUUCUACAAUGGGGGCAACCCGGCUCCAGCCAUCCCGCGUGUGCGAUGAAGGCCUUCGGGUUGUAAAGCACUUUUGUCAGGGAAGAAACGGCGCCGGCUAAUACCUGGCGCCGCUGACGUUACCUGCAGAAUAAGCACCGGCUAACUACGGGCCUGCAGCCGCGGUAAUACGUAGGGUGCAAGCGUUAAUCGGAACUACUGGGCGUAAAGCUUGCGCAGGCGGUUCGGAAAGAAAGAUUUGAAAGCCCAGGGCUUAACCUUGGAACUGCAUUUUUAACUGCCGGGCUAGAGUAUGUCAGAGGGGGGUAGAAUUCCACGUGUAGCAGUGAAAUGCGUAGAGAUGUGGAGGAAUACCGAUGGCGAAGGCAGCCCCCUGGGAUAAUACUGACGCUCAUGCACGAAAGCGUGGGGAGCAAACA